UACGUAGGUGGCAAGCGUUGUCCGGAAUUACUGGGUGUAAAGGGCGCGUAGACGGGCAUAUAAGUCAGAUGUGAAAUACCGGGGCUCAACUCCGGGGCUGCAUUUGAAACUAUAUGUCUUGAGUGCAGGAGAGGAAAGCGGAAUUCCUAGUGUAGCGGUAAAAUGCGUAGAUAUUAGGAGGAACACCAGUGGCGAAGGCGGCUUUCUGGACUGUAACUGACGUUGAGGCGCGAAAGCGUGGGUAGCAAACAGGAUUAGAUACCCUGGUAGUCCACGCUGUAAACGAUGAUUACUAGGUGUGGGAGGUAUCGACUCCUUCCGUGCCGGAGUUAACACAAUAAGUAAUCCACCUGGGGAGUACGACCGCAAGGUUGAA
rnacentral:rRNA from 1 species